GUGUACAUGGGUGCUAGUGGUGUAGUGGUGUAGUGGUGUACAUGGCUUCUACCAACUAACAGUGCAUCAAUUACAUGGUGCAUGUGGGUGCUAGUGGGGGUGUUAGUGGUGUGCGUGUGUAGUGGGGGUGUACACAUCAAUCAGUUCACACCAAAACUACGAACAAGGAGGGUGGUGAAGAUUUUAGGUCCGUGCCCGGCCCGCCUCGUUAGUUAAACGAGAGAGAGAGAGAGAGAGAGAGAGAGAGAGAGAGAGAGAGAGAGAACAACUAGUAGUGCUUUGAGGAAAAAACCUGCUAAGA
rnacentral:lncRNA from 1 species